rnacentral:rRNA from 1 species
UACGGGGGGAGCAAGCGUUGUUCGGAUUUACUGGGCGUAAAGGGCGCGUAGGCGGCCUGUGCAAGUCAGUUGUGAAAUCUCCGGGCUUAACUCGGAACGGUCAACUGAUACUGCUGUGACUCGAGUCCGGUAGGGGAGCGUGGAAUUCCUGGUGUAGCGGUGAAAUGCGCAGAUAUCAGGAGGAACACCAGCGGCGAAGGCGGCGCUCUGGGCCGGUACUGACGCUGAGGAGCGAAAGCGUGGGUAGCAAACAGG